rnacentral:rRNA from 1 species
UACAGAGGUCUCAAGCGUUUGUUCGGAUUCAUUGGGCGUAAAGGGUGCGUAGGCGGCGCGGUAAGUCGGGUGUGAAAUCUCGGAGCUUAACUCCGAAACUGCAUUCGAUACUGGCGUGCUUGAGGACUGGAGAGGAGACUGGAAUUCAUGGUGUAGCAGUGAAAUGCGUAGAGAUCAUGAGGAAGACCAGUGGCGAAGGCGGGUCUCUGGACAGUUCCUGACACUGAUGCGCGACAGCAUGGGGGAGCAAACAGG